GGUAACCAAGGGGGAGGGUGAAAUGGUUGGGUAACCCUUGCCGCCUCGGUCAAAAAUGGAACAGCUGGAUAACCCCUGCCGUCUCAGGAAAAAGGGGAAAUAUUG
rnacentral:ribozyme from 1 species